AUGUACAAUAAUGUUGUGACAAGUGUUCGAACAAGUGAUGUCGACACCGAUGACUUCCCUAUUAAGAUAGGACUGCACCAGGGGUCAGCUUUGAGCCCUUAUCUUUUUGCAUUGGUGAUGGAUGAGGUCACAAGGGGUAUACAAGGAGAUAUCCCAUGGUGUAUGCUCUUUGCGGAUGAUGUGGUGCUAGUUGACGAUAGUCGGACGGGGGUAAAUAGGAAGUUAGAGUUAUGGAGACAAACCUUGGAAUCGAAAGGAUUUAGGCUUAGUAGAACUAAAACCGAGUACAGGAUGUGCAGUUUCAGUACUACUAGCUGUGAGGAGGAGGAGGUUAGCCUUGAUGGCCAGGUGGUACCUCGGAAGGACACCUUUCGGUAUUUGGGGUCAAUGUUGUAG
rnacentral:rRNA from 1 species